UACGUAGGGCGCAAGCGUUGUCCGGAAUUAUUGGGCGUAAAGAGCUCGUAGGCGGUCUGUCGCGUCGGUUGUGAAAACACAAGGCUCAACCUUGUGCCUGCAAUCGAUACGGGCAGACUAGAGUACUGCAGGGGAGUCUGGAAUUCCUGGUGUAGCGGUGGAAUGCGCAGAUAUCAGGAGGAACACCGGUGGCGAAGGCGGUGAGCUGGGCAGUUGCUGACACUGAGGCGCGACAGCGUGGGGAGCAAACAGG
rnacentral:rRNA from 1 species